rnacentral:rRNA from 1 species
AUUGAACGCUGGCGGCAGGCCUAACACAUGCAAGUCGAGCGGUAGAGAGAAGCUUGCUUCUCUUGAGAGCGGCGGACGGGUGAGUAAUGCCUAGGAAUCUGCCUGGUAGUGGGGGAUAACGUUCGGAAACGGACGCUAAUACCGCAUACGUCCUACGGGAGAAAGCAGGGGACCUUCGGGCCUUGCGCUAUCAGAUGAGCCUAGGUCGGAUUAGCUAGUUGGUGGGGUAAUGGCUCACCAAGGCGACGAUCCGUAACUGGUCUGAGAGGAUGAUCAGUCACACUGGAACUGAGACACGGUCCAGACUCCUCCGGGAGGCAGCAGUGGGGAAUAUUGGACAAUGGGCGAAAGCCUGAUCCAGCCAUGCCGCGUGUGUGAAGAAGGUCUUCGGAUUGUAAAGCACUUUAAGUUGGGAGGAAGGGCAGUAAAUUAAUACGUUGCUGUUUUGACGUUACCGACAGAAUAAGCACCGGCUAACUCUGUG